AUGAUUCGUGGGACGUCCUGCCGGUGGUGGCGAGUCGAAGGCGUGCACCCGUUGUGGUUUAUCCACUUCGGUUCUUGCGCGCCGGAGGCGGACCCCGAUGAAAUCCUACCGCGGUGCUCUUCGCCGAGUGUCGAGGUGGGCCGGCACGUUUACUUUGAACAAAUUAUUAGUGCUUAAAGCAGGCCUGUUGCGCCUGAAUACUGUGUGCAUGGAAUAAUGGAAUAGGACCUCGGUUCUAUUUUGUUGGUUUUCGGAACCCGAGGUAAUGAUUAAUAGGGACAGGCGGGGGCAUUCGUAUUGCGACGUUAGAGGUGAAAUUCUUGGAUCGUCGCAAGACGGACCGAAGCGAAAGCAUUUGCCAAGUAUGUUUUCAUUAAUCAAGAACGAAAGUUAGAGGUUCGAAGGCGAUCAGAUACCGCCCUAGUUCUAACCAUAAACGAUGCCAGCUAGCGAUCCGCCGAAGUUCCUCCGAUGACUCGGCGGGCAGCUCCCGGGAAACAAGCUUUGGGUUCCGGGGGAAGUAUGGUUGCAAGCUGAAACUUAAAGGAAUUGACGGAAGG
rnacentral:rRNA from 1 species